UACGAAGGGUGCAAGCGUUACUCGGAAUUACUGGGCGUAAAGCGUGCGUAGGUGGUUCGUUAAGUCUGAUGUGAAAGCCCUGGGCUCAACCUGGGAAUGGCAUUGGAAACUGGCGACCUAGUAGUGCGGUAGAGGGUAGUGGAAUUCCCGGUGUAGCAGUGAAAUGCGUAGAGAUCGGGAGGAACAUCCGUGGCGAAGGCGACUACCUGGACCAGCACUGACACUGAGGCACGAAAAGCGUGGGGGAGCAAACAGG
rnacentral:rRNA from 1 species